UUCGGGAUGCCGGCGAGUGGCGAACGGGUGAGUAACGCGUGGAUACCUAUCCUAUAGUGGGGAAUAACGUUUAGAAAUGAACGCUAGUACCGCAUAAGCCCUUUGGGGGAAAGAUUUAUCGCUAUAGGAGGGGUCUGCGUCGGAUUAGCUAGUUGGUGGGGUAAAGGCCUACCAAGGCGACGAUCCGUAGCUGGUCUGAGAGGAUGAUCAGCCACACUGGGACUGAGACACGGCCCAGACUCCUACGGGAGGCAGCAGUGGGGAAUAUUGCGCAAUGGGGGAAACCCUGACGCAGCGACGCCGCGUGGGUGAAGAAGGCCUUAGGGUUGUAAAGCCCUUUCAGUAGGAAAGAUGAUGACGGUACCUACAGAAGAAGCUCCGGCUAACUCCGUGCCAGCAGCCGCGGUAAUACGGAGGGGGCUAGCGUUGUUCGGAAUUACUGGGCGUAAAGGGCGCGUAGGCGGUUAUGCAAG
rnacentral:rRNA from 1 species